rnacentral:lncRNA from 1 species
AGUAGUAGUACUAGUACACAGCACUUGAGGCUUGGAGCACACACGGUGGUACUAGAAGGAGGAAAUGCCUUGUGAUGAAAUUGGAAUGGCCUGAGUUUUACAACCGGGAUGCAGCUCCUUUUAUAGGUAGCUGAACCGACUAACUAUACGUAUGAGCUUACGUCAAGCUCCUAGAUUACAUCACUGCUGACGACUAGCUUGCUCAGCUUUUACCAUAGUAAAUUACUACUACUAGUAGUUUCCUUAACUACCAAGGCAUGCAGCCGCUACUGCUUUUCUUGCCGACAUGCAGCUGCAUGUCAUUUCCACCUCCUGGCUAAGUAACUGCUACUGCUGCCGCUGUAACCAAGCAUGCAUAGCCAUGCAUGCAUCGAAGACAGGUUUGACUCAACAAUCUCCCCCUCAAACCUAUAGGAGGGUCUUGAUGAUCCCGCUCCUGUCGUGCGGCUCUUGGAACUCGACGCAACCAAGUGCCUUCGUUGGGAUGUCCGCCUUCUCGGCGGCCCGUAUGCCCUGUUCGUGCUUCUUGAUCUCGGGUGCUGCGAUCGUCUCGCGGGCUCGAGAAGGUCCCCCUAGGCUUCGGAACCUGUGUGGAUCGCCACCAUUUUUGUUGGCAUCGAACAAGUCCGACCGCGCUUUUGAUGGGGACAUGAACUGCUCGGGAACCACCUCGCUCGUGGGUGUCAGUGUUUCUGGGGUCGUAGUUCCUGAUGUCACACUGCCCGGGAACUCCCUUCCCGGGGUCGUCGUGCCGGACGCCGCACUGCCCGGGAACUCCCUUCCCGGGGAUGACUUGUCGGACAUCGGACUACCCAGGAAUUCCCUUCCUGGGGUCGUCGUGCCGGACGCCGCACUGCCUGGGAACUCCCUUCCCAGGGUCGUUGUGCCGGACGCCACACUGACCGGAGUGGCUCCUCUCAGGGUAGCGGAGUCCUUGGUGCUCUUCCCAUCAGACUUGCUUGUCGGGUCUCCCCCGACAAUCGUGAGUCGUGCCUCCCGCACGGACUCGAUGGAGCCCGAGUGCGUCGGGGCUGCAGUGUGGCCGACCAUAGAGCAUAGUGCCUCCUGCACGGUCUCGACGGUCGCCACCAGCGUAGUCGGGUCGUGCCCAACUACAGAGUCCCGUGCGUCCCGCACGGACUCGAUGGACCCCGAGCGUGUCGGGGUCGCGGCAUAGCCGACCAAAGAGUGUUGUGCCUCCUGCACGGACUCUAUGGUCGCCAUAGUCUCGGUCGAGGCCUUGCCGCCCCAUGACCGUCUCUUCAUUGCCUCCCAGUUGAGGCUUGUCGAAGAGUGCCGUGUUGCCCACACGGGCUUGCAGAACCCUGAGAACCUGGUUGUCGGGUUGUGGCCGACCUGAGAGUGCCGUGCCUCUUGCACGAUCUCACUGGUCACCAGCAUCAUGGUUGGGACGUGGCCCACCAUAUGCGUCAUUGCCGUGCCUCCUGACACGAGCUUGUUGGGUCGCGAGGAUGUCGGGUACGCCUUUGCCGUGCCAUCUUGCACGGGCUUGACCAGCGUCGCAGGGGACGUGGUUUCCGGGGUGUGGCUCCCCCACACCUGGGUCUUCAUCUCCUCCCAAUCGUAGUCUCCCGAGAACGUAGUUGUCGGGGAGAGCGGUACCGAUGUCGCGAGGGGAUUACUUGAAGAGCUCCAUGCCUCCCACACGGACUUAACGGUUGCCGACACCGUGGUCGCCGGAGGUUCUGCGCCCUCCUGCACGGCUUCGAUGCUUGUCAGGACCAUGGUCGCCGGAGGCGCUCUGCCCUCCUGCAUGGUCUCGACGCAAGCCAUCAUCAUUGCUGGCCCACCGUCUUCUUCAGCCUCGACGAGGUUUGCCGCGGCCACGGCAUCCUCGUCAGCCAUCCUCUUGCGGCACUCACGGGCCCAGUGGCCCUUGAUGCUGCAAUAUCGGCACUUGUCUCGGUCGUCGUUGCCGGCACCUCGUCCGGCUCCACCCUGGGUGCGACCGCCGCCUCUGCCGAUGCUGCCUCCGCUGCUCUGGGCACCGCCACCACGUCCUUGACGCUUCCUCGCCUCCCACUUCUUUGAGAAUAGGAGUUGUCCGCCGCCGAAGCUCUCGCGGCCGUCGUCAAGGCGGUCCUCGACCACCCGCAACCGGCCCAUGAGCUCCUCGACGGAGAGCUCACUCAGAUCAAGCAAGGUCUCGAUGGAGACCGCUACCUGAGCGAAGCGAGAUGGCACGACGCGGAGAAAUUUCCGCACGAGUCUCGCGUCGUCCAUGGUGUCGCCGAGCGCGCGGAGCUGUGACGCAAGGCUGGAGAUCCGCAUGGCGAAGUUGUCGACGAGCUCGCCCUCCUUGAAGGCGAUGUUCUCGAAGUCCGCCCGCAGCUUCUGCGCGUUCGCCUCAUGCACGCGGUUGCUGCCAAAUCGCUGGGUACGGAUGGCUUCCCACGCCUCCUUGGCGCUUGCCUUCGCCGCGAGCAUGCCGUGCAUCUCCGGCGGCGUGGCGCGCAUGAGGGCCGCCACGGCUUUCCUGUCCUCCUUUCUCUCGAUCAGGUCGUCCUCCAUGGGAGCCCAGAGGCUCGCCGCAUGAAGGUUGCACUCCAUGAUCAACGCCCACUCGCUGUAGUUCGAGCGCGUGAGCAUCGGGAAGGUGAUGGGCAUGCUACCGCUGAUUGCGGUCUCGCGCACGAUCUCCCUAACCACGACCUCACCGCGAUGGCCGCGCCUGGAGCGGCUGCGCCCUCGCCGCUCCUCCGGAGCCGGCGACUGGGAGCCGUCCUGUGAUGGCCGCGACUGGGAACCACCCGAGGUGGUGCGCUGCUGCACUCCUUUACCACCGGCCAUGGCUACCACAACCAGAGGCUCUGAUACCAAUUGUCAGCCCAGAACUACUCGCUAGCACUCGAGUACACUGAUAGAUGACCGGUGGAUGAGCACACACACAUACUACUCACACACUCACUAGUGUAUCACACACACACACGUAGUAGUAGUAGUACUAGUACACAGCACUUGAGGCUUGGAGCACACACGGUGGUACUAGAAGGAGGAAAUGUCUUGUAAUGAAAUUGGAAUGGCCUGAGUUUUACAACCGGGAUGCAGCUCCUUUUAUAGGUAGCUGAACCGACUAACUAUACGUAUGAGCUUACGUCAAGCUCCUAGAUUACAUCACUGCUGACGACUAGCUUGCUCAGCUUUUACCAUAGUAAAUUACUACUACUAGUAGUUUCCUUAACUACCAAGGCAUGCAGCCGCUACUGCUUUUCUUGCCGACAUGCAGCUGCAUGUCAUUUCCACCUCCUGGCUAAGUAACUGCUACUGCUGCCGCUGUAACCAAGCAUGCAUAGCCAUGCAUGCAUCGAAGACAGGUUUGACUCAACAAAGAUCACAAGCCUGACAACAUCGUCAUUUCUCUUCCAGCACCAGAGUAAUCUUUGGUAGCUCGUUGUAGCAGCAUCCUUCCCGGAGCAAGCAGAUGGCGCCAACUCUGAAGCUCAGGAUCCUCGCCGUGGCUGCCGCUGCCGCUGUCAUGGUCAGCACGGUCUCCGCGGCCGAUGGACCAGCUCCCGCGCCAGCCUUUGGCGCGUCGGUGGCCGCCCGGGCUGUCGCCAUGGCGUCCUUGACGGCACUCCUCUUUGGCUACUUCUUCUGAGGCCAUUACACGAAGUGCCUUGACGGCACUCCUCUUUGGCUACUUCUUCUGAGGCCAUUACACGAAGUGCGUUGUGCGCACAAUCAUUUGGGUAUCUUUCUUUGGUCGUCUCAUGUUCAUAGAUGAUAUGAGUACAUAUUGUAAAUUUACAUGUUCAUUUUUCAUUUUCUAAUGAAAAAAAUUGUUGGGG